AAUUAUUUAAAAUUUUAUUCUGGUUUUAAAAAUCUCUUAUUUUAAUUUUUUACAUGCAUUAUUUAUUUUGGUUUUUAUAUAUUUAAUAUAUUUAUAUGUUGAAAAUUGCAGUAUAUAAUUUUAAUAUUUAAUGUGAGUUAGAUUUAGAUAUAAAUUUUUAUUAUAACUAAAAUUGUGCCAGCAGUUGCGGUUAAACAUUUAUAAUGGAGAUUUAUAUUGGUAAGUAUAAAUGUUUCUGUGAUAUAUAUAGUUUAUUCAUUUUAUGGUGAAAUAUAAAUGUAUUUUUAUAAUAUGGUUAUAUUAUAUAAAAGUAUUAGAUUUAAACUAGGAUUAGAUACCCUAUUAUUCUAUUUUUAGUUUUUUAUCCUAUAAUUAUUAGUUAUAUUCUAUAAAGUUAAAGAAUUUGGCGGUUUUUCAAUCUUUUUAGAGGAACCUGUUUUGUAAUUGAUAAUCCACGAUUAAUUUUACUUUGAUUAUUUAUUUAUAUAUCGUUGUAAAGAUUAUUUUAAAAAAAUAUUUUCUUAAAUAUUAUUUAUAUAAUAACAGAUCAAGGUGUAAUUAUAUUUAAGUAAUAAUGGGUUACAAUUUUAUUUAAAAUCGUAUUUAUUAUUUUGUAACAGUUAAUUUAAGUUGGAUUUAAAAGUAAUUUAUAUUAUUUUCUGUGUUUGAAUUUAGCUCUGAUUUAUGUACAUAUCGCCCGUCGCUCUCACUUAUAUUGAGAUAAGUCGUAACAAAGUAGAUGCAUCGGAAGAUGCAUCUAGAUUUAU
rnacentral:ncRNA from 1 species